GACAGAGGGUGCAAACGUUGCUCGGAAUUACUGGGCGUAAAGCGCGUGUAGGCGGUGCCGCACGUCCGAUGUGAAAGCCCAGGGCUCAACCCUGGACGUGCAUUGGAUACGACGGCGCUGGAGUCCUGAAGAGGAGGGCGGAAUUCCCGGUGUAGAGGUGAAAUUCGUAGAUAUCGGGGAGGAACACCAGUGGCGAAGGCGGCUCUCUGGACAGGUACUGACGCUGAGACGCGAAAGCGUGGGUAGCAAACAGG
rnacentral:rRNA from 1 species